GGCCUGCUCGCUCCGCAGUAGGGAGCCGGGAUCUGGUUGAGGGGGCGUCCCAUGCAUUGGGGCUGCAGGCCUUGGCCCCUUCAGGGAAGGACAGAUACACUUUUCAUCUAAAAAGCAGGGAUAAUUUCACUUCCGACUGAAGUAUAACAACCCCAGGAGGAAAGCUUGGCAGUUGCCUAAUAGCACACAGCAACACUUGAGAACAGUUUAAGAAAGGAAGUGAAGAAGAAUAUGAUAUCUAAUUGAACCUGCAGAGAGAAUUUAGACUUCCUGCUCUGACUCCAGACUUCAGCAGAUUUCUACCUGACAUCAGUG